AAUCAGUAAUGUAUUUGACAGUAUGUCCCAUGAAUGAAUUUCUUCGAUAAAGAUAAAUGAGAGUACGACAAAUGAGAAGAAUAAAAAAAAAAUAAGAGUAUAAAGGGGAUAUAAAUGAGAAGAAUAAGAGUAGAAAAAAAAAAGAAAAAGAUAAAAAUGAAAAGGAAAAGUAAGCUAAGGCCAAUGGCGACAAUAAAGAUACGAUGAUUACAAUCAUAAUGACUCGAUAGCCAUGCAAAAGUGUGAUAGUGACAUAAAGGUGUGACGAUGGUGGUUGCUAGAGUUAGAGGAAGUAAAGGAUGAAGAUGAAGAAAAAGAUGAGGAGGAGAAAAAGGAGAAUGAACCCGAAUGGAUGGUGAUUAAUGCAACAGUGACAAUGACAAUGAGGAAAGGAAGAAGAAAACAUAAAAAAAGAAAAAGAAGAUUUUAUUGACAAAUUUUACUAACGAUGACAAUUUUUACCGAUAAAUUUUACUAAGGAUUAGAAUAUGUUGAUAACUAUCAACGAAUUAUGAUCAUCAAUAAUUACCAAUAAAUUUUUAAUUCUCAAUAAUCAAUCAAUAAAAUCAAAUUAUCAACAAACUUUUACUAUUAUUAACUAAUUAUGUCUAUUUGUAAUACACAAAUUAGUAAAUAAGAAUAACAUAGGAGAAAGAGAGAAGGAAAAGCGGGAGGGAGAGUAAUAUGUCAGGGUUUGGUAUAAAUUAUGUGUUCUUUUAAUUUUAUUCCCUUUACAUAUUUACAUAUUGCUCAAUCCCUUCUACGUGGAAUCCAAGAAGGAAAGGCUGAUGUUAAUGUAGUGUUAUACAUGUGUUUUAAAAAAAAUAUAUUUUUAAAAAUUUAUUAAUAAAAGUAUUUCAUAUCUUAUCCAAAAAGCCUCUUUUAUAAAAUUUGUCCCGAAAAUCUUAUUUUAUAAAAC
rnacentral:lncRNA from 1 species